UCGUAUGAGUCCAGUUUUGUGAAGUGCCUAGAAUAGUCAAAAUUCACAGAGACAGAAGCAGUGGUCGCCAGGAAUGGGGAAGCAAGGCGGAGUUGGGCAGCUCGUGUUCAAUGGUUUUGUCCGCCUUCCCUGCCUCCUCUUCUGGGGGAGUUAGAUCGAGUUGUAACAAGAACAUGCCACUGUCUCGCUGGCUGCAGCGUGUGGUCCCCUUACCAGAGUGAGGAUGCGAAGAGAAGGUGGCUGUCUGCAAACCAGGAAGAGAGCCCUCACCGGGAACCCGUCCAGCUGCCACCUUGAACUUGGACUUCCAAGCCUCCAGAACUGUGAGGGAUAAAUGUAUGAUUUUAAAGUCGCCCAGUGUGUGGUAUUUUGUUUUGACUAAUACAACCUGAAAACAUUUUCCCCUCACUCCACCUGAGCAAUAUCUGAGUGGCUUAAGGUACUCAGGACACAACAAAGGAGAAAUGUCCCAUGCACAAGGUGCACCCAUGCCUGGGUAAAGCAGCCUGGCACAGAGGGAAGCACACAGGCUCAGGGA
rnacentral:lncRNA from 1 species